UAACGGUUUUCAUGAGGGUGCGCGCGCGUCUUGGCAACGGAAGUUGAACAUUGUUGUUGCUGCCAAGAACUUCCUUGACCGAAGCUAGCUAACAUUAACCAGCUGAAUCCAAACCGUUUUGAAGGAAAAUGUCGUCCUGUUGCGUGCAUGGCUGUAAAAACCGACAGUCCUCAACCAGCAAAUUGAAAUUUUACAGAAUACCGUCUGGCUCUCGGCCGUUUCAGGCCAACCGGAGACGUUUAUGGUUACAAGCAAUCCAACAAGCAAACGGCAGCACCGAGGAGCUCAAAGGAAAUGCUCGUAUUUGUGGCGCUCAUUUUAAGUCACAGGAAGCGUCCAUGGACCACGACAGUCCAGACUUUGUGCCCUCUGUGUUUACAUAUGCUAAACAGACCCCAAA